rnacentral:rRNA from 1 species
GUUCUCAGUUCGGACUGCAGUCUGCAACUCGACUGCACGAAGCUGGAAUCGCUAGUAAUCGCGGAUCAGCACGCCGCGGUGAAUACGUUCCCGGGCCUUGUACACACCGCCCGUCACACCAUGGAAGUCUGCAAUGCCCGAAGCCGGUGGCCUAACCACUUAUGUGGAAGGAGCCGUCUAAGGCAGGGCAGACGACUGGGGUGAAGUCGUAACAAGGUACC